CCCCUGACUCUGGGAUAAGCCCGGGAAACUGGGUCUAAUACCGGAUAUGACCGCCCCCGGCAUCGGGUGGUGGUGGAAAGUUUUUCGGUCGGGGAUGGGCUCGCGGCCUAUCAGCUUGUUGGUGGGGUAGUGGCCUACCAAGGCGACGACGGGUAGCCGGCCUGAGAGGGCGACCGGCCACACUGGGACUGAGACACGGCCCAGACUCCUACGGGAGGCAGCAGUGGGGAAUAUUGCGCAAUGGGCGAAAGCCUGACGCAGCGACGCCGCGUGGGGGAUGACGGCCUUCGGGUUGUAAACCUCUUUCAGCAGGGACGAAGUUGACGUGUACCUGCAGAAGAAGCGCCGGCUAACUACGUGCCAGCAGCCGCGGUAAUACGUAGGGCGCAAGCGUUGUCCGGAAUUAUUGGGCGUAAAGAGCUCGUAGGUGGCUUGUCGCGUCGGAUGUGAAAGCCCGCAGCUUAACUGCGGGUCUGCAUUUGAUACGGGCAGGCUAGAGGUAGGUAGGGGAGAACGGAAUUCCUGGUGUAGCGGUG
rnacentral:rRNA from 1 species